rnacentral:rRNA from 1 species
UACAGAGGGUGCAAGCGUUGUUCGGAAUUACUGGGCGUAAAGCGCGUGUAGGCUGCAAUGUAAGUCGGAUGUGAAAGCCCUCAGCUUAACUGAGGAAGUGCAUCUGAUACUGCAUCGCUUGAGUGUCGGAGGGGAUGGCGGAAUUCCCGGUGUAGAGGUGAAAUUCGUAGAUAUCGGGAGGAACACCUGUGGCGAAGGCGGCCAUCUGGACGACGACUGACGCUGAGACGGCGGAAAGCGAGGGGAGCAAACAGG